rnacentral:rRNA from 1 species
UACGAAGGGGGCUAGCGUUGCUCGGAAUCACUGGGCGUAAAGCGCACGUAGGCGGAUUGCUAAGUCAGGGGUGAAAUCCCGGGGCUCAACCCCGGAACUGCCUUUGAUACUGGGUAUCUCGAGUCCGAGAGAGGUGAGUGGAAUUCCGAGUGUAGAGGUGAAAUUCGUAGAUAUUCGGAGGAACACCAGUGGCGAAGGCGGCUCACUGGUCCGGUACUGACGCUGAGGUGCGAAAGCGUGGGGAGCAAACAGG